rfam:Hordeum vulgare subsp. vulgare, WGS project CAJW01000000 data, contig: morex_contig_65869
GAUAUACUCCCUCCGUCCCAAAAUAAGUGUCGCUGACUUAGUAUAAAAUUUAUACUAAUUUAGUUAUAAAUUUGCGACACUUAUUUUGGGACAGAGGGAGUACAUA